rnacentral:rRNA from 1 species
UACAGAGGUCGCAAGCGUUGGUCGGAUUCAUUGGGCGUAAAGGGUGUGUAGGCGGCGCGGUAAGUCGGGUGUGAAAUCUCGGAGCUUAACUCCGAAACUGCAUUCGAUACUGCCGUGCUUGAGGACUGGAGAGGAGACUGGAAUUUACGGUGUAGCGGUGAAAUGCGUAGAUAUCGUAAGGAAGACCAGUGGCGAAGGCGGGUCUCUGGACAGUUCCUGACGCUGAGGAGCGAAAGCGUGGGGAGCGAACAGG